UUCCCGGCCUUGUACACACCGCCCGUCACACCACGAAAGUUGGCAAUACCCGAAGCCGGUGGCCUAACCCGCAAGGAGGGAGCCGUCGAAGGUAGGGUUGAUGAUUGGGGUG
rnacentral:rRNA from 1 species